UACGUAGGGUGCAAGCGUUGCCCGGAUUUACUGGGCGUAAAGAGCGCGCAGGCGGUCGUUCAAGUCGUGUGUGAAAGCCCCCGGCUCAACUGGGGAGGGUCACGCGAUACUGAUCGACUCGAAGGCAGGAGAGGGUAGUGGAAUUCCCGGUGUAGUGGUGAAAUGCGUAGAUAUCGGGAGGAACACCAGUGGCGAAGGCGACUACCUGGCCUGUUCUUGACGCUGAGGCGCGAAAGCUAGGGGAGCAAACGGG
rnacentral:rRNA from 1 species